CCUGGUGAUUUUAGCGGAGGGGCCACACCCGUUUCCAUCCCGAACACGGAAGUUAAGCCCUCCAGCGCCUAUGGUACUGCUCAUUUUGGGUGGGAGAGUAGGUCGUUGCCGGGA
rnacentral:rRNA from 1 species